UUAUUUACCAAUUACUUCUAUAAGUGGUGCACUCCACGGUGACUUACUUGGUUGACUCUAUCCGGAAAAAAAUCUGUAAACAUAGAAGGUAGCUUCUUGAAGUGAACUGUGCUUUAUUUUCAGUAUUUACAGUAGGUUGAUUAAUAAUGCCCUUAAACAUUGAAGGGAGAAGCUUAAUAGCUGCUUAAUGAUGUUAAUAACAGGUGAUAGAUUUGAAAUGUUGAUGUGUUUAUCUGUUAAACAUUGAAUUUAUUUUUAUAACAAGCUGAGAUGUUUUUUUCCUAUGAUGAAAGCUUUCAUGUGCUAUUUUUUUUUUUUUUUUUUUUUUUUUUUGCAACUAGGUACUAAUGGGCUGUGGUGAGAUGGAAGGAAAUAAUUUCUUAAAGAUUUUCAGUAGCAGAGGAAAUAAGUGAAUCUCUGUGACUUGGUACAAGAUCUCCAAAAUGAUUUUUACAGUAUUGCUACUGUUAUUGCAAAAGGAGAUAGGGAGAAAACAGUGAGUCUAGGAACUGGUUUGUAAUUCGUAAGUUUUAUCAGAACUGUGCUAAUGUAAAAUUGUGUUGUCCUUCAUUAUCAUGAAGGAUGAGGAAUAUAUUAUUUUUCUGACAAUGUGUUCAGAACUAAAUAAAAAUACCAUAAAAUUUUUUGAGGAAAUGCAUACAUUGAGUUCCUAAAACCUUGUGUUCUGCCUCUCUCAGUCCCAUCACAAAACUGUGGUGGUGUUGUAAGGAGAUAAGACCCUGUUACAGGGGUUUUGCGUCAUCUCUGUAUAUGUAAAGCCCUCUCUUCUUUCUUUGUAAACUAUUGAUUGUGCUUCUUAGGUGUGUGUUGCGUUUUGUCCCAGUGUGAAGUUGGGACCUUGUGUUCAGUUCCUUCUCCAUUAUGACCCCCAUUCCAUUUUCAGUCACGGUUCUUCCGUCUGCUGUUUUCCCAGUAUUCAGGGCGUGGCUUUGUAAUCUUUGCCUGGACAGAUAGCCUAUAACCUGAGAUUCGCUUUUAUAAAGCAGUCCUUUGCAGAUCUCACACGGCAGGUUUGGGGUAUAUCCAGGCAGCUGAGCGCCUCCCUAAAUCCCCUCAGUACCUUUUCCCUCAGCGCCGGGGUUGACCAGGCGGCCCUGCGCGGGGUUGACCAGGCGGCCGUGCGGCUGCGGCUCGGGGCGGGCCGUGCGGGGCCCGCAGGGGGCCGGGCCCGGUGCCGGGGCGGGGCGGGGCCGCUCCCGGUGCCGUCAGCAGCCGCGGGCUGGCGGCGGAGCCUGGGCGCGGGCCGGCGGCGCUGCGGAGGCACUGAUUGUUCUCUUUCCUUCACUUCAGUGAUCUUUGCCUCGCAGUGGUCUGCGUACCGCAAGGAAAUUGUCGCCGCGGAUCAGCAGCAGGCUGUCCCGGGAGGCAAAACCAAGCAACACAGC
rnacentral:lncRNA from 1 species